rnacentral:piRNA from 1 species
UGACAGGUGUAAAACAAGAUAACUUCAGAAC